rnacentral:rRNA from 1 species
AGCUACAGGCUUAACACAUGCAAGUCGAGGGGCAGCAUCAUCAAAGCUUGCUUUGAUGGAUGGCGACCGGCGCACGGGUGAGUAACACGUAUCCAACCUGCCGACAACACUGGGAUAGCCUUUCGAAAGAAAGAUUAAUACCGGAUGGCAUAGUUUUCCCGCAUGGGAUAAUUAUUAAAGAAUUUCGGUUGUCGAUGGGGAUGCGUUCCAUUAGGCAGUUGGCGGGGUAACGGCCCACCAAACCUACGAUGGAUAGGGGUUCUGAGAGGAAGGUCCCCCACAUUGGAACUGAGACACGGUCCAAACUCCUACGGGAGGCAGCAGUGAGGAAUAUUGGUCAAUGGACGAGAGUCUGAACCAGCCAAGUAGCGUGAAGGAUGACUGCCCUAUGGGUUGUAAACUUCUUUUAUACGGGAAUAAAGUGAGCCACGUGUGGCUUUUUGUAUGUACCGUAUGAAUAAGGAUCGGCUAACUCCGUGCCAGCAGCCGCGGUAAUACGGAGGAUCCGAGCGUUAUCCGGAUUUAUUGGGUUUAAAGGGAGCGUAGGCGGGUUGUUAAGUCAGUUGUGAAAGUUUGCGGCUCAACCGUAAAAUUGCAGUUGAUACUGGCGACCUUGAGUGCAACAGAGGUAGGCGGAAUUCGUGGUGUAGCGGUGAAAUGCUUAGAUAUCACGAAGAACUCCGAUUGCGAAGGCAGCUUACUGGAUUGUAACUGACGCUGAUGCUCGAAAGUGUGGGUAUCAAACAGGAUUAGAUACCCUGGUAGUCCACACAGUAAACG